UACAGAGGUCUCAAGCGUUGUUCGGAUUCAUUGGGCGUAAAGGGUGCGUAGGCGGCGCGGUAAGUCGGGUGUGAAAUCUCGGGGCUUAACUCCGAGACUGCAUUCGAUACUGCCGUGAUUGAGGACUGGAGAGGAGACUGGAAUUUACGGUGUAGCGGUGAAAUGCGUAGAGAUCAUGAGGAAGACCAGUGGCGAAGGCGGGUCUCUGGACAGUUCCUGACACUGAGACACGAAGGCCAGGGGAGCAAACGGG
rnacentral:rRNA from 1 species